rnacentral:misc_RNA from 1 species
CUUUAAAACUCAAUUCAGUUGUGUUUUCAACGUUUGAUAGUCUUUAGGUGGAAGUAGAAUGUAUACCAAUCAUUCCAUUGAAUCCAAUCACUUCUUGACUUGUGAAACCAAAUCAACUCUUGUGAAGAAGCCUCCAAAUUAGGUAAAAAGAAAAAAGAAUAUUUUGUCUCUAAAGAUUUUCAAAUACACCCAAUUCGAGCAAAAAG